rnacentral:tRNA from 1 species
GACCCGCCGCCUGGCCGAGACGGUCGCGGCCGCCGAGGGCGGCCGGGCGGUGCUGCGGGAGUCGUUCCGGAUGUUCGAGGCGUCGCGGAUCG